rnacentral:ncRNA from 1 species
AUCUUCAGGGCAGGGUGUGAUUCCCGACCGGCGGUAAAGUCCGCGAGCCGAAAGGCAGAACCGUUGCAACUACGGUACCGACAGUAAAAGUCUGGAUGGAAGAAGAA